rnacentral:sRNA from 1 species
GCCAGGCAUGGUGGUGCACGCCCGUAAUCCCAGCAGCUCGGGAGGCAGAGGCAGGAGGAUCCUGAGUUCAAAGCCAGCCUCAGCAACGGCAAGGCGCUAAGCAACUCAGUGAGACCCCGUCUCUA